rnacentral:rRNA from 1 species
UACGGAGGAUCCUAGUGUUAUCCGGAUUUAUUGGGUUUAAAGGGAGCGUAGGCGGGAGGUCAAGUCAGCUGUGAAAUGUAUCUGCUUAACGGGUACACUGCAGUUGAAACUGGUUUUCUUGAGUGCGUAAGAGGCAGGCGGAAUUCGUUGUGUAGCGGUGAAAUGCUUAGAUAUGACGCGGAACUCCUAUUGCGAAGGCAGCUUGCUGGGUCGUUACUGACGCUGAUGCUCGAAGGUGCGGGGAUCAAACAGGAUUAGAUACCCCU